AUUGAACGCUGGCGGCAGGCCUAACACAUGCAAGUCGAACGAGUGGCGGACGGGUGAGUAAUGUCUGGGAAACUGCCUGAUGGAGGGGGAUAACUACUGGAAACGGUAGCUAAUACCGCAUACCAUCGGAUGUGCCCAGAUGGGAUUGGCUAGUAGGUGGGGUAACGGAUCACCUCGGCGACGGUCCCUUGCUGGUCUGCGAGGAUGACCAGCCACACUGGAACUGAGACACGGUCCAGAAUCCUGCGGGAGGCAGCAUGGGGGAAUAUUGCACUAUGGGCGCAAGCCUGAUGCAGCCAGGCCGCGUGUAUGAAGAAGGCCUUCGGGUUGUAAAGUACUUUCAGCGGGGAGGCGUUACCCGCAGAAGAAGCACCGGCUAACUCCGUGCCAGCAGCCGCGGUAAUUC
rnacentral:rRNA from 1 species